UUUUUUUUGUAUUUCAUGGACUUCUUGUGGGGUUAGUGGUGCGAGAUUAUGCUUGCGGUUGUUGUGGGUGAAACUAUAGUAGUUGCUUCGCCCACUGUGAAGUGUAUCUUUGUCGAAUUGUCAUGGCCUUCCUAGAAGUAAGUGGCCGGCUUGCAUUGGCACCACAUGAUACAAGACUCGGUGGUGAGCUUGUAUCAGGAUAGAUAUGAUGGCUAUACAAGAUGGCGGUCGCUUCUCUCUUGUGUAGGAAAGAUGGUCAUUGAUGUAGAUCUGAC
rnacentral:lncRNA from 1 species